UCUUUGACACUGUCUUCCUCAAGUAUGUCAUGUCCUUUCAGGGCUAAUUGGUGUUGUGGCUGACAAAUGCUCAGAUUUCCUAAUGUGGUUACUUGAUGGUAAGUUCCGGUAGUUUCUUUCCACUUGUAAUUUAUUGUUUGCCACAAUUGUACACAGGAUUUAGAGCAUAAUGUUGGACCUAUGUCCUUGAGCAAGAUCCAAUUUUCAGAUAACAUUGAUCUUAUGGAUUCAUGGCCUUGUAAAUCUUGUUGGUAUUAUAAAUGGCAUUAAGAGGUACAUGAGCUUCAUGAGAUGGGACUCUUCAACAGUACGGGCUAGAACAUGAAGAGAACUCCUGAUCGUGAAGUAUAACUGGGUAUGAUUAAUUCAAGUUUGACAAUUUUGGAAAAGGAAGAAACUGAUUCUUUCCGCAUCUCGUAUUGCAAGAUUGUGAUCUUUGAGCUGUUUGAUUUGACCUGUCUUCUUGAGUUCGUUUAACCUUCCUGUGCUUCAAUGUUGUGCCUGUGAAUUUAACUGCAAUUGCCUUCUGGAUUGUUGUGGCUUGAUAUAGGAAGGCGGCAACUCUCCGUGCAGAUCGUCUUUUACUGGUCUUAGUGUAUAGCUUCUCAUUCUUGUGUGACCAAUCAUAUCUAAUGGGAUGUGCAUCUUUUGUGGUUAAGCGCUGAUCUUAUGCACGGAAAAAAAGCGCAACCCGUGUUAGUGCUAUUAGUACUGGUAUCGGAAGCUUGGUUCCCUGCAUCAAGCUGAUGCGUGUUUAGACCCUGAUGGAUCCAAACACAAUUUCAACUUGGCCUAUGCUGGUAAAACUGCUGUCUUGUGGUUGCAGAAUCGCUUGAUUAAAGUUGUGACUUGCAGUUAGCCUGUUACAUAGCUGUACAAGUGCUUGAUUUAGAAUGUGUAAGGUUUAAUGUUCUGAAAUAAUGGUGCAAUUUACACCUAAUACAAUAACUUCUAAAAUGUAGUUAAUUACAAAAGAAAUUUGGCGCAAAUUGGUAACGGAUUAAA